UUCCAAUGUAUUUAUUGCACCAGCAAAUCCACCGUCUUAACCCGGAAACUAUAGGAGGAUAUGUAUCAGACAUUAUGAGUCAUUGCUAGGUUUUUUGUCUGAAGAGUUUACCAAGUAAUAUGGAGUCCCCAAGGUGAUAUAUGCAUGGCUAGGUAACGCUUGCUAACAAUUUUUAAACGUUAUGAAACCAAAGAGAAGUUUCAUUUCCAUGCAAUUAUUACUGAUGAUUUGCCAAAAAAAAAAUCUUGUUAUUUCUUCGAACUUCAGCCCCUUUAACUCUUAACACAUCUGUUGCUCUUGCCUCUUGCAGAUCUUCUGUGGAGCACUUUGGUUCUGAUUUGCCUUAUUAUUUGGUGCCAGGACAACCCAACAGCAUUCAUUUGUGCCCGAGCAAAUCCUAAUAUAAAAUGAAGG
rnacentral:lncRNA from 1 species